rnacentral:piRNA from 1 species
CUUCACCCAUGAGGCUUGCUUGCA